UUGGAACAGGAGGUCAUGGAGGGUGAGAACCCCGUACAUGGCUUGGGCGCCGCCGUCCUUGUGACGCAUCCUCUAAGAGUCGGGUUGUUUGGGAAUGCAGCUCAAAAUGGGUGGUAAAUUUCAUCUAAAGCUAAAUAUGGGCGAGAGACCGAUAGCAAACAAGUAGAGUGAUCGAAAGAUGAAAAGUACUUUGAAAAGAGAGUGAAACAGUACGUGAAAUUGUUGAAAGGGAAGCGUUUGGCAUCAGCCCAUGGCGGUGGUACGAACAUCCUUGCUUUUUUUAUGGUGCACUCGUCCACCGUUGGGCCAGCGUCGGCUCUGCCUGCCAGAGAAAGGCCUUGGGGAAGUGGCUCUCCCUUCGGGGAGCGUGUUAUAACCCAUGGUGUCAUGUGGCUUUGGCGGGGCCGAGGUCCGCGGUUUUGUCCUAGGACGCUGGCGUAAUGGUUCCAAGCGACCCGUCUUGAAACACGGACCAAGGAGUCUAACAUCUAUGCGAGUGUUUGGGUGUCAAGCCCGACCGCGCAAUGAAAGUGAAUGCAGGCGGGAGCCCCUCCAGGGUGCACCGCCGA
rnacentral:rRNA from 1 species